GGGGAAUAUUGCACAAUGGAGGAAACUCUGAUGCAGCGACGCCGCGUGAAGGAUGAAGUAUUUCGGUAUGUAAACUUCUAUCAGCAGGGAAGAAAAUGACGGUACCUGACUAAGAAGCCCCGGCUAACUACGUGCCAGCAGCCGCGGUAAUACGUAGGGGGCAAGCGUUAUCCGGAUUUACUGGGUGUAAAGGGAGCGUAGACGGCACGGCAAGCCAGAUGUGAAAGCCCGGGGCUCAACCCCGGGACUGCAUUUGGAACUGCUGAGCUAGAGUGUCGGAGAGGCAAGUGGAAUUCCUAGUGUAGCGGUGAAAUGCGUAGAUAUUAGGAGGAACACCAGUGGCGAAGGCGGCUUGCUGGACGAUGACUGACGUUGAGGCUCGAAAGCGUGGGGAGCAAAC
rnacentral:rRNA from 1 species